rnacentral:sRNA from 1 species
UUUUAAACCCGACAGCAGUUAAAAUCCUUUUUGCUUGCAGUAACCUCUAACAAGCAUAACAGGAUUGCAAAAAGAUUGAAACGAAUGGCGGGAACAAAC